CCUACGGGAGGCAGCAGUGGGGAAUAUUGCACAAUGGGGGAAACCCUGAUGCAGCGACGCCGCGUGAGUGAAGAAGUAUUUCGGUACGUAAAGCUCUAUCAGCAGGGAAGAAAAAAAGUCCUUUGGACUUUGGACGGUACCUGACUAAGAAGCCCCGGCUAACUACGUGCCAGCAGCCGCGGUAAUACGUAGGGGGCAAGCGUUAUCCGGAUUUACUGGGGUGAAAGGGAGCGUAGACGGCAGCGCAAGUCUGGAGUGAAAUGCCGGGGCCCAACCCCGGAACUGCUUUGGAAACUGUGCAGCUGGAGUGCAGGAGAGGUAAGCGGAAUUCCUGGUGUAGCGGUGAAAUGCGUAGAUAGUAGGAGGAACACCAGUGGCGAAGGCGGCUUACUGGACUGUAACUGACGUUGAGGCUCGAAAGCGUGGGGAGCAAACAGGAUUAGAUACCCGUGUAGUC
rnacentral:rRNA from 1 species